rnacentral:rRNA from 1 species
CAAGGGCGUAUAUUAAUGUUGUUGCAGUUAAAAAGCUCGUAGUUGGAUUUCGGGUGGGAAUGGCCGGUCCGCCGUUUCGGUGUGCACUUGCUACGCCCACCUUGCUGCCGGGGACGUGCUCUUGAGUUCACGCUCGGGACACGGAGUCGGCGAGGUUACUUUGAGUAAAUUAGAGUGUUCAAAGCAGGCCUACGCUCUGAAUACAUUAGCAUGGAAUAACACGAUAGGACUCUGGCCUAUCUUGUUGGUCUGUAGGACCGGAGUAAUGAUUAAGAGGGACAGUCGGGGGCAUUCGUAUUUCAUUGUCAGAGGUGAAAUUCUUGGAUUUAUGAAAGACGAACUACUGCGAAAGCAUUUGCCAAGGAUGUUUUCAUUAA